CCUACGGGAGGCAGCAGUGGGGAAUAUUGGACAAUGGGCGAAAGCCUGAUCCAGCAAUUCCGCGUGUGUGAAGAAGGCCUUCGGGUUGUAAAGCACUUUAGUGGGGGAAGAAACAGCUUGGCCACACCAAGCCUUGACGGUACCCCAAGAAUAAGCACCGGCUAACUCUGUGCCAGCAGCCGCGGUAAUACAGAGGGUGCAAGCGUUAAUCGGAUUUACUGGGCGUAAAGGGUGCGUAGGUGGCUAUUUAAGUCGGAUGUGAAAGCCCGGGGCUCAACCUCGGAAUUGCAUUCGAUACUGAGUGGCUAGAGUUCGGUAGAGGGCGGCGGAAUUUCCGGUGUAGCGGUGAAAUGCGUAGAUAUCGGAAGGAACAUCAAUGGCGAAGGCAGCCGCCUGGGCCUGGACUGACACUGGGGCACGAAAGCGUGGGUAGCAAACAGGAUUAGAUACCCUGGUAGUCCACGCCGUAAACGAUGAGAACUUGACGUUGGUUCGUUUUACGAAUCGGUGUCGCAGCUAACGCGAUAAGUUCCCCGCCUGGGGAGUACGGCCGCAAGGUUGAAACUUAAAGGAAUUGAACGG
rnacentral:rRNA from 1 species